rnacentral:rRNA from 1 species
GACGAACGCUGGCGGCGUGCCUAAUACAUGCAAGUAGAACGCUGAAGGAGGAGCUUGCUUCUCUGGAUGAGUUGCGAACGGGUGAGUAACGCGUAGGUAACCUGCCUGGUAGCGGGGGAUAACUAUUGGAAACGAUAGCUAAUACCGCAUAAUAGCAGUUAUUGCAUGAUAACUGUUUGAAAGGUGCAAUUGCACCACUACCAGAUGGACCUGCGUUGUAUUAGCUAGUUGGUGGGGUAACGGCUCACCAAGGCGACGAUACAUAGCCGACCUGAGAGGGUGAUCGGCCACACUGGGACUGAGACACGGCCCAGACUCCUACGGGAGGCAGCAGUAGGGAAUCUUCGGCAAUGGACGGAAGUCUGACCGAGCAACGCCGCGUGAGUGAAGAAGGGUUUCGGAUCGUAAAGCUCUGUUGUAAGAGAAGAACGAGUGUGAGAGUGGAAAGUUCACACUGUGACGGUAGCUUACCAGAAAGAGACGGCUAACUACGUG